AUUUUCUUUUUGUCGUUUUGUCCUUCUUUCCUUGGCCGCCCUGGCCCUGUAGUGCGUAUGUUGAAAACGGAAAAAGGAGCGCUUUGUGUUACCUUGUUCACGCAUAGCACUGAUAUUGUCGUUUGUUGGACCUUUCUCGUCGUUUAGCUUGUUUGACGUAGAUGUCGCCGUGGGGGGGCUCUUUCCUUUCAUCCGAUCUUGUCACGCGGCCG
rnacentral:lncRNA from 1 species